GUGCCCGCUUCAGCAGUAUGGAUACUAAAAUUGGAACGAUACAGAGAAGAUUAGCAUGACCCCUGCACAAGGAUGACAUGCAAAUUUGUGAAGCAUUCCAUAUUUUU
rnacentral:snRNA from 1 species